rnacentral:rRNA from 1 species
UACGUAGGGACCAAGCGUUGUUCGGAUUUACUGGGCGUAAAGGGCGCGUAGGCGGCGCGGUAAGUCACUUGUGAAAUCUCUGAGCUUAACUCAGAACGGCCAAGUGAUACUGCAGUGCUAGAGUGUGGAGGGGGCAAUCGGAAUUCUUGGUGUAGCGGUGAAAUGCGUAGAUAUCAAGAGGAACACCUGAGGUGAAGACGGGUUGCUGGGCCAACACUGACGCUGAGGCGCGAAAGCUAGGGGAGCAAACGGG